UCGUCGGCUGCUGUAUGACCUGUUCAACAAGCACUACCGGGUCAGAAGGACGAUGGUCCAAGCCAAGCUGGCACAGGAGUUUGGAGACGUCCCGAAGUCAGACAUCGACCGAGUGCUCAAUGACUGCUGCAGCAGCUACGCAGGGAUGUGGUACCUCAAGGGAACAAUACCGUCCUGACGCUGAGAGUCUGCCCCCACGCUUUCAUCGUCAGCCAAUCAAAUCCUCUCCUGGGUGUCUAGUGGGAGGGCAGCCAGAGAGACGAGAGCCAGUCACAAUCACAGCUCGCCCGGCUCUGGGCGGGUGAUUGGAGGACAGAAAAUGUCCACCUGAGCUCGGGACAUGAAGCUUUCCUCGUUUCCAACUGAAGCAUUUCUGACUCUGAUGCAGCGCGGAGGACAAAAACUCCCCACAUACUCACUAACAGCUGGAGCAUCUGAGCGGGAAAUAUACAAAUAAAAAAAAAAGUGAAGAAAUAGAAAAUAUAUAUAUACGGUUCACAAGUAGGUUUUUGGAUUUUUUUUGGACCUCAUGUUUGAUUAUUUUGGAAUUUAAACCUUUACCAGAUGAAGAUGGUGUUUACUGAUGCAAUGAAAUGUGGUUUAAAGUGCUUUCAUUUUACUCCUGAUUUGUACAUUUUUGCCAGAGGAAACACAUUUACACCUUUAUUGUACCAUCAGCAAAGCAAACACUGUUUAAGCACUUGUGGGAAGAAGAACUUAAAAAAGCAAAUCUGAUUUAUUUUCACCUGUAACACAUUUUCUUUCAUUUGACGUGGUUAAAGAAAAUAAAGUAGAGUAUUUAUACCACUCUAAAGACACAAA